AAGUGCAAGUUAAUAAACAAAUAGUGCUCCUAUCAGAGGUGGAGAAAAUGAAUAAUGAGGAUCAGGUGUUGUUGUUGAUCAGAUUUUUGCCCACCGACAUCAAGAAGUAGUCUGAGAUGCACCCAUGAUGGCUGAAUUAAGACGAGGUGGCCAGCAUUUUCAAUCUGUGUGCGGAAUUCAAGGGAUCACUGGAUGGAUGCUCCAUCUGCAAACCUGAUGAAGGCAUUUAGUACCUAUGACUGAGGAUUCUGGCAUUGAUGUCUGCCACGAAUGUGCUCUCCUCUCAAGGGACUGUGCCUAUAUGAAUGAAGACCCUUAGAGCGUCGUGAAGGAAUACAUGCCAGGGGUUCGUAGUCACACGGUAGAGACCAUAUAUGGCAUCAGAUGGCAUAUCCCCCCCCCCCCCCCGAGGACGUUUGGAUCAUAGGAGCUAUGUAACGUACCAUUUGCUUUUGGACUGUGUUUACUUAUAUGAGCAGCUACAGUUUCUACUUUCUAAACAAUGUUUAAUUGUAUCUGUUAUGUGAAAACACACGAUAUGCACUUCAGUGAGCAUUUAAAUGUGCACUUGAACCCUUAACAUGCAAUAUAGCUUUACAAUAUUGUGAUGGGUUUUUUGUAUGUUAGGCUCUUUCAAUAUAAAAGUUGAAUGUUGUGCACUUAAACCGUAAUGUGAAUAUAAGGCUUGAAAUACAGUUUGUAUAUCAAAAAACAUCUUUGUCUGUUAUUUGUUUUAUCUUUUAGGCCUGUCAUUGCAUAAUGUUUACCCCUUUUGGUGUUAACUUAAAUGUAAUACUUUGAACAGAGUUAAUUAAAUCAUGGAAAGUAUUUCCAUGUGAUUCAAUUGCUCUCUUUCAGCAUGAAGUAAUUCAUUUGAACCAACUUGAUUUACUUGGGUUUGUGCAACUUAAUUUGAAGUAGUUUUCAAUAAGUUAAAUCAACUUAAAUAGAUUGUGUUAACCCAACCUAAGUAAAUUAUGUGGGCUCCAAACCUUGCAAACAAGUUUAAUGGACCCUAACAAAUAAAGUUGAACUAACCAAAGUACCUUAAGUUGGACCAAAGAUAUUGCUUAAUGUUGAAAGU